AGAGCCAGAGCCAAUUCCAUCCGAGCUAGCUAGUCAUGGAGAUGGAGCCACCACCCAAAAUGCUUGCCACUCUCAUCAUCACCAUACUAUUGAUGAUCAUGAUGGACACCUCUGCCGCGCUUGCCUCGGAUGCAGUGGUGCUUAGAGGACAAGCAAGAGCACUCCUCGUCUGGAAAGAUAGCCUCGACAACCAAAGCCAGCACGCCCUGCGGUCCUGGGGAAACACGUCAGCACCCUGCAAUUGGCGAGGCAUCACUUGCGGUAGCAGUGUGCACUGGCGUCGGCGGCGGCCUGUGAUCACUGGCAUCUCUCUGCGCGACAUGCAAUUGGGAGGGACGCUGGAGUCCCUCAACUUCUCGGCCUUGAGGACCCUGACGCGCCUCGACCUGUCAAGCAAUCAGUUGGUUGGUCAUAUCCCUUGUGAAAUAGGACACAUGAAACACUUAGUUGCAUUAAAGUUGUCUAGUAAUAAUCUUUCCAGUAAAAUACCGAAUAGCAUAGGUGGUUUGACCAAACUCACUUCCUUAUACCUUUACGGUAACCAACUUUAUGGACAAAUUCCACGAGAACUGGGUUACCUUCUAAACUUAGAGGACCUGCAACUUGGCACCAACACACUCUCAGGUUCCAUUCCAAGAAAUUUACGUAAUUUGACCAAGCUCGCCGUGUUAAGUCUCUGGGGCAACGAACUUUCUGGGCUAAUUCCACAGGAAUUAGAUUACCUUGGGAGCUUGCAGUACCUGGAUCUUAGUGAAAACAUACUCUCAAGUUCUAUCCCAAAUAGCCUAGGCAAUUUGACAAAACUCACUACCUUGUACCUUUUUCAAAACCAACUUUCUGGACAGAUCCCUCGAGAACUAGGUUACCUUGAGAACUUAGGAGAGGUAGUACUUAGAGACAACACACUAACUGGUUCCAUCCCAAAUAGCAUAAGUAAUUUGACCAAACUCACAGAUUUGAACCUUUUCAGCAACCAACUUUCUGGACAAAUCCCUCGAGAACUAGGUUACCUUGAGAAGUUACGGUACUUGGAGCUUGAGAAUAACCAACUUUCUGGACACAUCCCUCAAGGACUAGGGUAUUUAGUCAACUUAGACUACUUGUAUCUUAGCUACAACACACUGACAGGUUCCAUCCCAGAAGACCUAGGCAAUCUCACACAACUCCGUUACUUGUACCUUGACAAUAACAAACUUUCCGGCCACAUUCCCCGAGAAUUAGGCUAUUCAGUCAACUUAGAUGACUUGUCUUUUAGAAAUAAUGCACUAUCAGGUCCCAUCCCAAGUAGCCUUGGCAAUCUGACAAAACUUUAUAAAUUAGACUUUGGGCAGAACCAACUUUCUGGGCAGAUUUCAUGUGGAUAGGUUGGUUGUUGAAUAUAAAGUACUUUUAGAGCUUAGUAACAACACACUUAACAGAUUUCAUCACAAACAGCCUAGACUAUCUUGUAGUAGAAUUAUGUUGACAAGAAGUAGAAGGUGCACCAUCCUCAUCGACCCCUGCUGCUGCUUCUCUCCCGCACGGGACCAAACCCCUGCGCCAGCUCCGCUGCCGUGGCACAAGCACCUCCUCACGGUGGCCGACUGCACCUGCUCCUCUCCUGCACUCGUCCUCCUCGCAGAAAAAAAGAAGGCCCACGCCCUCGCCGCUUGGUCACUUGACACCGGCGCGCUCACCAGCGACUAGGCCACCGUCGCCACGGCGUCUGCGCCAGUGGCCCUCGCCGCCUUCUUCGACUGCUGCACGACCCCUCUCGCCUGUGCCACCGAUGUCGUUGACCUGCUCUCAUGCGAGGACGCGCGCCUGGGCCGUCCCCAAAGUGCCCGUCGGGUCCAAGGACAGGGCCGACGUCGCCACCAACCUCAGGAGUGAGGAGGCUCCUACUAGGGUCCUCCAACCGCGCGGCCACCGGCGUCCCUACAGCGGUCUUGUUCUCCAAGGUGCCCGCCGUGCACGGGGCCUUCCGGGAUUCGGCAUGGGUACUGAAGCUCGGGAACCAAGGAGGAGACAUUGAUACUGAUGACACUGGUGCAACCUCAGUACUGCUCCCUGCACUUGUCCUAAACUGGAGUCCCUAUAGAGACUACAGGGUAAAGUGAAGAAAGCUACGGAGAGCAGUGAAGAGGAGGAGAUUCCCUAACGUUCCCAAGGUAGCUACCGGCGAAUCAUCCACCGCUCACAUGCGCAGUGAUUCGUGCUAUAGGGAGCCCACAGACAAUGUAUAGAUGUGUAUAAUAACAACCCAUCUCUUGUAUCUUAAUUAAUAGUCAAAUCAAUGUCAGAUGAAAGGGACCCAUGUCAACAAUAAAGUUGUACUUGACGCAUCCAUGGUCCGUUCUCUCUCCUCAUUCUCACGUACGGAAGAUGCAUCACAUGCCAGAGUAAUUCAUGCCCUUUAUUUUCUCUUUGGCAAUUUCAUUCAUUCAUAUAUUUUAAACUGCAACUUCAUUUUUGAAACAUUUUAUAUAUUUGAACUCCUGAUGCCAAGACCUUCAGAACAAGAUUAAUCUUGAAAACAUUCGAACAUCUUUUAGUUUCAACGUUUCAAAUGAGUGAAACAUGUUUUGUGGAAUACAUGAAAUAAGUAUUUGAGCGAACCCAAAAUUAUCAUUUACAAAUGAGAAAAAUCUAUUUUAUGAAGCGAGUGAAAUUAUUUUUUUAUUUCAUUUAAAUGUCACUUAUUUCAAGUUAAAAUUUAUAUUUCAAACGUUUGAAACAAACUUUUGAGUUGAUUGAAAUACAUUUGAAUAUAUUUCAUAAAUACAAAGUGGAAAUUGUUUUUGAGAUAUAUUUUGUAAUGAGUGAAAUCAGUUUUACAAAAUGAGUUAUUUCAAUUAACUGAAAUAGGUCUUCUGAAUUCAAUGAAACCAAUUUUAAGAAAUAGAUUGUUCCAAUGUGUGAAAUUGAUUAUGUUCGUGAAGCUGCUUACUCCUGAUUGUGAAACUGAUAUUUAGGAAAUAUAAUUGCAAGUGAAAUAUGAAACUAUAGAAUUUAAAUAUGCAUGCAUUAUUUUAAAGCGGUGAAAAUCUGUAAUAUAAAAUGAGUGAAUCAGUUUUCGAAAUGAAUGGAAUCUUGUUUUUAAAACGGAUGAAAUAUGUUUAUUUAAUGUGUGAAAUAUGUCUUUUCAAAUGAGUGAAUUCAUAUUUUUUAAAUCAGUGAAUUGUUAUUUUGAAUCAACUAAAAAAGAUGAGUGAAAUAUGCAUAUGAAACAAACUUCAUUGUGAAAUAUGUUUAACUUGUAAUUUAGAAAAAUGUGAAACUAGUUAUUUUAAAACAUGCGAUUAUUUCAAUUUUUUAUAAAUGAACGAUCUAUUUUAUGAAGCGAGUGAAAUUGUUUUUUAUUUCAUUUAAAUGUCACUUAUUUCAAGUUAAAAUUUAUAUUUCAAACGUUUGAAACUAACUUUUGAGUUGAUUGAAAUACAUUUGAAUAUAUUUCAUAAAUACAAAGUGGAAUUAGUUUUUGAGAUAUAUUUUUCUUAUUGCCAAAAUUUCAUAAACUAGCAGGUAUGGUAGCUAACCUGUAGCUAAUCACUAUUAUCGUAAAUUUUUCUUAUUGCCAAAAUUUUGGGUUUCGGCACUAACCUCUGUUCGGUGAACCGUACAACCGUUUUUUCUGAACUACCGAUUUUGGAUUCCACUCGAUUUGGUGUGCUAGCCUUGAUGGUUUUGGGUACCAUUUCGUACAGACUAGCCAAGAAGUAUGUCUAGUUGCAGUGCCUGCACUUCCAUAACCCUCCAUUGAAGCAAUAGAAAACCAAUUUAACUAAAAAAUUUAAGAGAGGAUUGGUGCCCAAGUCUAAUGAAAGAAAGCAAACUGUCUUGUUCAUAAUUCAAUGAUAACUUAUAAGUAAAACCUUUCGUGUUAAGGGGCCUACGAGUCACUGUCAUCAUCUGCCAUGAGAGGGUAUACCUAUCACGCUUUUAAAUGGUAAGAAAAAUAUUAGUUUUGAGUGAGGCCUAGAAUAGAUGAGAGAGCGAUCUAUAAGUAACCCAAUCAAAGCAAGAGUUGGCAGGCACGACGGGAGCCAAUUUGAGGUUUCAUGGACGCAACUUAGAACCAUGAUCAUUUGUGAGCUCCUGAUGUCUUAGGAUGAAUUUGGGUUUAAAAGCAAUGGAAGGAUCACACCGCCGUUUGAAGCACCGGCGAUGGAGUAUGUCAUGUGGCUGCUCGGAACAAAUGUCUCAUGAGGUGUAGAGAUUAAAGGAACAUUUAAAUAAUCUUUGUUUCUAAAUUUUGUAUAUAACAUACUUUCUGUAACGAUGUGUUACUUGUUCACACUUUGUACAUUUUAGAAUCAUCUAUUUACUUACACGUAAACUAUUAUACUCUAGAAAUCUCUAUUAGCAAAAAACAACACUUAUUUGCUACAUUUAUACUAAUAUAUCCUACAAAUUUGUGUGGAUAUUUAACAGACAUUGGAUAAGGACAUAUAACACAGUAUAACACAUCAGAUGUAUAAAUUAAUUUGUACGUCAGUUUGAUACUAUUUGUCAUAUACUUGGCAAAUCCAUUGAAUAUUUUUCUCAAAUAUUCUAAACUAUGUGAAAGUCAAAACACUUCUGCGAAAAGUGUACAAUCUUUAGUUCACCACAAUGAAUUUUUUUUUGUAUCUUAAUAUAAAGAGCUUGAUUACAUUGUUCCUUUGCAUGUCCUUAUAUGUAACAAAUAACGUUCCAAAUAGUAUAAAUAAUGCAUUACUGUUCCCAACUAAAACAAUGCAUUAAUAAUCAUUUAAAAAUAAUAAUUUAUAAAUACAUAAACACAAAAUUUAUAUUGGCAAGAUUAGUUUCGAGUAAGUAAAACAGUUCAAUAUAAACUAGAAACAAUAUUGCACUUCCCUGUGCCUGGUUAAGUAAUGUUGCGCUCUUUUGCGCCUGUUUAUGGAUAUGUUGUUUGCCGGUAAUUUAGGUGGGCUUAGGGAAAAAAUAAACAAGAUUGCACUUCCCUGUGCCUGGUUAAGUAAUAUUGCGCUGUUUUGCGCCUGUUUAUAGAUAUGUUGUUUGCCGGUAAUUUAGGUGGGCUUAGGGAAAAAAUAAACAAGCACCAAACAACAUGAUGGUCCCGCGCACGAUUCACCACAUAUACACUAUGACUGGUAACCAACUCCCAUCACAACUAAAUCAAAAAUCAACAACCACACCGCUUAACCAAAUAAUCCCACCACACGACCUAUUGGAAAAAAUGAUUGUAUAGCCUCACACUAGUAAGGCCUGCAACAAAAGGCCCACAACAUAUCCAACAGGCAUUCACGGUCAUCACGACAAGCUGUCACAGUUAUGAAGGAAGGGGAAGAAAGGUAUAGAGAAUCAUACAUAAAAAUGUCCACCUAUAAAUUUCCAUUAUGAUUUAGAAAAACUAUUUGGUAAAGACAAUCAGAUAUAUUCACAAUGAGUUGUGUCAAUUUUGUACUUAAUAAUAUCUUAUUUACAAUAAAAAGAGAUAUGCAUCAUAUAAAAAAAAACUUAAUGACUCUAAUAAGACAUGUCAAUGAACCUAACAUUGUUUUGGUAGAAGAGAAGCACUCCUAUUGUAUAUAAACAUAUCCAUCUGUAACAUCCAAAUAAAAUACCAAAAUCUAGAUGCACACGGACAUGUCCACAUCGUACGCAUCUAUCCACAUGUAUUUUUUUAUAUAUCUAAUUUAAUUGUUUGUAAAUAUAUUAGUGGUCAAUAAAUAAAUAAAUAAAAGACUAGCCGUCCUCAUGUUAGGGCGAUUGAGGUCGGCGAUGAGCUAUUCUUCCCGUAUGUUGAGUCUAAAAGCGAAUAGGACUUCCGGAUCGGUACAGUUUUGCAUCAUGUUAUUUAUACAUGAAUUGGGACCCGAAUUGCCCUAUGGUUUUGCUCGUCUUUUGGAUGAAGAGUGCUAGAUCUCAUAUAUCGAUUUGUCCGGUUUUACUGGGGCAGUAUUCGACGUGAGAGACUUGAAUUGGGUGGACUAUAGGUCCGAUCUGAAAGUCACCUAGGUGACUCGAGUUGCUCCACACAUGUGUAAGGUGUUGUGCCCACUUUCCUGGGCUAUGUAGUAGCUUGGAUGCGUGUCCAUUGCCAGAGGCGGAUUCAUAUUUGAUGUUCUUGCUGGCAUAGGCAUCCCUGGUUAAUGCUAAGGCAGCCUGCACAAGACGGGGGGUGGGUGGAAGAAUUCUUUUGGCUCCGACCCAAUCUGAAGUUGACACCAACUGUAGUUCCUUCAUGGGUCGACCUAAUGUCGGUCCGAGGUUUUGGCCUGGUGUGAAACAUGAUGUUUGGCUCUCAGGUUGAGCCAUCGAAUUCCAGCUCUAGGCCUGAUCCGGCGAUACAUAGCUUUCGUUCCAAGCUUGAUUAAACAUCGGUGUUUGGACCCGAGUGAUCUUCUGCCUCUCAAUCUGGUUUAACAUUCUGAUGUGGGGGUAAGUUCCGAUACGUCGGGUCUAACACCUCGACGGCAAGUUGGAGUUUCGCUCGAUCUUAGUUGGUUGGUCGAAUUGCCGAGUGGUCGUUCCAGCGUUGGGACGGCGCUAGUGCAACCCUGAUCACCACUGUUGGGCGUCAUUGCAUAGCUGGGACUACCUAGAGGGACCUGCAUGGGCGACCAAUGUUUGAGUCAAAUCCAGCAGAUCUCGGCUAAGGGGUCAAAUAGGUAGCAUUGGUGCGAUGGUAACAAGAGAAGUAGGGGUUACCCAACUUCUGGCUCUCCCGAAGAGAUAAUACCCAAUGCCAUGUAUGAUUGAUUUCGAGGGAGUGCACGGUACAUGUUGAUCUACCGAGAUAGAUGUGUGUAUGAAUGUGUUGUUCGUCUCAUCUACAAGCCCUACCCCUUUUUUAUAUAGAAACCACGGGGUCUAGAAAUUAUACAUAGGCAAGUCAUCUCCGAGACAACCGUCGUGCAAAUGAACCCUUAAGUCUUGGAGUAUGCGCCAAGUCUUUGGGUAUAUCUCUUCCUUGACACCAUGUGUCGACGAAUGUGGCCCACCACUAAGUCUUCAUGGGUGUCAUCGGCCAGGCCCUACUGGACAGUGGGCAAUGUGGUAUGCACCCCCUAGUCCAGAACACAAUCACGAGGCCAUCAAGGAGGCACGAAAUGUGUGGCAACAGUUUUGUGCAAGAGAGGGUUCUGGGUUUGGUGUACGUGGCGGUCAGGAGCGGAUGUGGCGGCGGUCUUAAUGCCUUCAAACCACCCCCGGUUUGCAUCUAAUUUACGGGAAAACAGACAAGCGGACACGUCGGUGGACAAUUAGGGGUUUACAUUCUAUGACAAACUACGUUUGAUCGAUCUGGUGAGCGCAACACCAUUUGAGCAGAUUUUGGCGACUUUAUUAUCUCAAAAUGUAGCAUCAAAUGGAUACAAAACAUUAUGAGUAACACUCGGCCGCUGCAUAAUUAGGAUGCACAAAAUCAAAUCCAAAAGUCUGACAAAAAGUAUGAAAUAAAAACUGACAAAUUGGUAAUAGCAGAUUCCUGUAGACCGAAACUAUGCCUAUAUCGAAGGGGGUGGUGGAUCAAUCCGUAGGUUAUGCUGCCACCCAUGUUGGGAAAAAACCCUCCAUAGACAUCUACUCCAAACAUGUACGCACCACCUUGAACAACAUUUGGUACUCCGGUCUUUGUAGUAUAGACAAUGUAUGUAGUAAGUGCGUACACCCGAAAAUAACAUGUAGAGCAGAAGCAUUUUUGUCAUUAAAAAGCAAAUCAUUUCUACAUAUCCAAAGCGGCAGAAUUUAGGUAUACACUUCGACCCUUUUUAGCGUUUUGAAAUUAUUUGGAAUACCAUCCAACCAAUGACCAAAAAUAUUGACAAUACUUGUGGGCGGAUACAAAUUUGAUGCUAUUUGAAUGACCGUCCAUCUAGAACAUGCAAACUUGCAUUAGAAAAAGAGGUGUUUGAUUGUCUCAUUAUGAGUACAAAACAACACUUCUUACUCCCUGGCAAGUUAUGCCGUGCGAGGUUGUCUUUGGUUAACACAACCAUUUGAGGUCCCUCUCCAAUGAAUUCUCGAUGGCAGGAAACCACUCGGGUAGGGGGAACUCAUCAUCUUCAUCAUCGUCGGCCUCGACAUGGACUAUCAGCCGAUCAUCUCGGUGCUGGAUGUCCGCACCGAACCCAUCACCGUCAACGGCCUCUUCUCCCUGGUUGCAAUUUUUGAUCAGCGGGUUGAGAUGUUCUAUGGGGACGGCGCUGGGGGUUUCAAACCCUCAGCUAACAUCGCCUCCUGUGGUCGUCAGGGCGGCGAUCAAGGCAACUCCCACAACAAGAAGGGCGGUCGCAGCGGCGUCGGCUACGGCGCUGCAAAUAGCUCUGGCAGUGGCGGCGGCGGCUAUCAUCCUGGUGGCCCUGGUGGCGGCUACCAACCGAACAACGGAGGCAGCUACAACAAUGGCAGCAACGGCGGUGGAUAUCACCGGGGAGGUGGUGGUGGCGGCCACUUCCAGGAAGGUGGCUGCGGUGGACCUUACCAUCCCAAUCACGCAGGCGACAACAACAAUAGGCGCCCCCCCCUAACAGGGGCCGAACCUUCCAAGGAUAUGAAGAUUAUGAAGGCAGCUGCCAAAUAUAUAAAAAAACUAAUCACCUUGCUCGUGAUUGUGAUUGGCGUUAUGUAGAAAAUAAUCAGCCCAAGAAAGUUGCCGCUGCCGCCGAUGCAUCCUAUGGUGUCGAUACCAACUAGUAUAUGGACACAGGAGCAACAAAUUACAUCACAGGAGAAUUGGAGAAACUAAUGCUGCAUGAAAAGUAUCGUGGUCAAGAUCAAGUCUACACUGCAGCAAACGGUGCAGGUAUGGAGAUUAGUCAUAUUGCUCAAGCAGUUAUCAAAACCCCACAUAAACACCUUGAGAUCAAUGAAAUCCUACAUGUUCUCAAUGCUUCCAAAACUUUGUUGUCUAUCCAUCGCAUUGCCCUUGACAAUAAUGUUUUUCUAGAAUUUCACCCUUUCUUCUUUUUGAUCAAGGAUCAGGUCACGAAGAGGGUUCUCCAUAGGGGUGUCUGUGUGCAAGGGCUCUAUGCGUUACUUCCCAAGUAUUGCCAGUUCAAUAAACAAGUCUAUGGUGCCAUCAAGCUUUCUACUGAAAGGUGGCACAGUCAUUUAGGUCAUCCAUCUUUUGCUACUUUUCAUCAAAUUCUUAGUAGAAAUAAACUCCCAGUUGUUGGUUAGAAAAGUCAGAAACUAUUUGUGAUUCAUGCAAAAGAGCAAAAACUCAUCAAUUGACAUACCAUGUUUCACUAGCGUGUCAACCAAGCCUUUGCAACUUAACUU
rnacentral:rRNA from 1 species